rnacentral:rRNA from 1 species
AUUGAACGCUGGCGGAAUGCUUUACACAUGCAAGUCGAGCGGCAGCGCGGGGGCAACCCUGGCGGCGAGCGGCGAACGGGUGAGUAAUACAUCGGAACGUGUCCUUAAGUGGGGGAUAGCUCGGCGAAAGCCGGAUUAAUACCGCAUAAGCUCUGAGGAGGAAAGCGGGGGCUACCGUAAGGACCUCGCGCUGUUGGAGCGGCCGAUGUCGGAUUAGCUAGUUGGUGGGGUAAAGGCCCACCAAGGCGACGAUCCGUAGCUGGUCUGAGAGGAUGAUCAGCCACACUGGAACUGAGACACGGUCCAGACUCCUACGGGAGGCAGCAGUGGGGAAUUUUGGACAAUGGGGGCAACCCUGAUCCAGCCAUUCCGCGUGAGUGAAGAAGGCC